AGUUAUUUGGCUGAUAGGAAAGCAUGUGUUUUGAAAGCUCCUUAUAGAGGUUCGACUCCUCUAAUAACUU
rnacentral:tRNA from 1 species